rnacentral:rRNA from 1 species
ACAUUAUAAAUAGCCGCAGAAUCCUGUGCUAAGGUAGCAUAAUCAUUAGCUUUUUAAUUAAAAGAUAGUAUGAAUGGUAAAACGAAAUACUAACUGUUUCUUUUAUUUUAAACUUAAACUAAAAUAAUAGUUAAAAUUCUAUUUUAAAAAAGAAAGACGAUAAGACCCUAUAAACUUAAAUACAAUUAGCUGGGGCGGCAAAAUAAAAAUACCUUACAUAACCUUUAUUCGCCCAAACAAACAAAGAUUAUAUAGAAAUAGUUACUUUAGGGAUAACAGCGCUACUUUUUUUUAAAGCUCUAAUAAAAAAAGAUACUACGACCUCGAUGUUGAAUUAUAUACCUAAAAUACGCAAAAAUUACAAAAGGAAGUCUGUUCGACUAUUAAACAUAU